rnacentral:lncRNA from 10 species
GCGCCGUCCGCGGGAAUUUGAAGUGCCUGACUGGGUGGCCGGGAGACGGAGUCUCGGGGUCGCGUGCACCUGGGCGGCCAGGGAGGCUCCAGUGCCCGGGAGAAAGGCAAGAAAACUGAGGCACAGAGAGAUUGUCACACAGCCAGUUUCUUUCAAAAUGAAGAUUCACGCAGUGAUUGUAACUGUCUUGAUGAGCCAGGUUGUAGUUUACAAAGUUUUAUUCCAGAAGGAAAAAAGCCACUUCACCUAGAAAUUUUGCAAACAAAUCAACUUUUACUCUGUGAGUAAUCCAGGGCCUAUCAAGACUACAUUUUAGUUGACUGCAAGGCCUCUGAGGCACGGGAAUUCACAGCUGAGUUCUUGGAGAAGGUCCUUGAGCCAUCUGGAUGGCGGACAGUCUGGCACAUGAUGUGCUCAAGGUGCUGCUUGAGGCCACAGAUGUGGACAUUUCAGCCUUGAAGGCAGUGGUGCAGCUUGCUGAGCCAUACCUCUGUGAAUCUUGAGCGAGUACUUUCACCUUGGAGUGUGUGAAAGAGCUCCUCGAGCUGAAGGAACAUCAGUUGCCCCUGAAGGAGCUGGGUGGUGUUUGAUGAUUCUGGAGACAGCACUUGUAACUUGUAACUGAGCAUGUCAGCUAGGAAGGAUAGCCACUGAGCAAGCCUGUAAGGCUAUUGGUCUGCCCAUUCUGGUUUCUUCACCAAUGAGAAAACUGGGACCUGGGGAGUUUGCAGAAGCCAUCCAAGGGCACCUGCUUCUCACAGCACAGCAGCUUCCUGCAGCCCUCCCUCCUGUCUUGUUUCUCCCUUAAUUGAGAGGAGAGGCCAGAACCAGAUGCAGGCAGUUCCAACAGUAAUGAAUUGCUCUAAGGUGUGGAUCCAAGAACCGGUGACAAGGUCAGGAAAUUCCAUCCCGGGACACUGACCCAACUAAGAGACUGUGCAUGAUGGCUAAGUUCAGAGCUCUGAGGAGAUGGUAAAACUCAUUUGCAACGAAACAAGAUAUUUUCCAACUCUGCAGCCAGUUUCUGAUUUGAAAGUGGCUGAUUUGGGGAAUGAGUUCUGAGCACUCUGUGGGUUAUUACUGUAGAAACCAUCCUCCUGGCUGUCUCACCAUCAGCGCCACCUCUCCGUGGGUCUGGAGUCUUGAGGAGCCAGGACUGGACUGGGAUGUAAGGUUGGGUCUUCCGAGCUGUAGAUGGGAGCAGGAAGAUGUAUCUCCAUUCACGAUCUCAGUACAAGGCUCAGCUAUCUCCCGGCAACUCGCCCAUCAUCUGUUUCUGAGUUCUUCUGACAUACAGGUUCUUUGGAGGCGGCAUCAAGAAAAUACAUUUGGACAAAUCCUUCAUCUCAAAUAUUUUCCCCUCAUGAAACCAAAGGCAUUGCUCCAAAGUCAUUUCCAUUAAUUAGACAUGCAUCUUGUAUGACUGAAGGAGAAUCUAGUCCACAAACUCUGGGUUAAUUUUCUCUUCUGACAUCUGUGUGUAGUGUUUCUCUGAGGAGCUGAAUUAUCUGCUCUCCAGUGCCUUCCUCUCGGUGUUUUUUGGCCAGGAGCAAGGAGACAGGCAGCUGCAUUCUGGGAGCAGCAAGCAAUUCUGAGAACUGGAGCUGCUUAGGUUCUUUCACUUCUGCUUCAAAGGAAUACGUUGAGUUUGCAGAGAAUGAAGGAGAGAAAGACUCCAAGUUCCAAGCAGGGUCUUGGGGUAGUCUCUGAGCAUCCCAAUGUACUUACUUCCUCCCCACAGCUUCCUCACUGGGCUCCCAGCCACCAGUAUUUGUCUCUUUAAUCCCCCAACACAGAGCUACUAGAUGGAUUUCUUUCUUUCUUUUUUGUUUCUUUCUUUCGAUCGAUUUCUCUUUCUUUCUUUCUUUCUCUUUCCUUCUUUCUUUUCUUUCCUUUUCUUUUCUUUCUUUCUUUUUCUUUCUUUUACAUCUUCCUUCCUUCCUUGCUUCCUUUCUCUCUCUUUUUCUUUCUUUUAUGGUUUUUUUUUUGUUGUUGUUGUUGUUGUUUUUAGACAGUCUUGCUCUGUCACCCAGGCUGGAGUGCAGUGGUGCAAUCUCGGCUCACUGAAGUCUCAACCUCCUAGGCUCAAACAGUCCUCCAACUUCAGCCUCCCAAGUAGCUGAGACUACAGAUCAGCAAUCUGGCUAAUUAAAAAAAAAUUUUUUUUAGAGAUGGGGUCUUACUAUGUUGCCCAGUCUGGUCUUGAACUCCUAGCCUCAAACAGUCAUCCUCCCUUAGCCUCCUAAAGUGCCGUGAUUAUAGGCGUGAGCCACCAUGCCCAGCUGGAUUUUUUCUUUUAACUGUAGUUUUAUCAUGUUCUUUUUGCUUAAAAUAAACUUUUCUGAAGUAAAUUCUGGACUCUGCAAGGUCUUUGUUCUAUUUGUUAUGGUGUUUGGGCAAGCCCUCUGUUUUCCUGUCCAGAGCAGGCCUGGGACCUUUGCCUUCGGUGGCUUUCCUGGGAUCCCCCACUACCCAGAAGAGCAGGGCUAUUGCCUCUGCUCGUCCCCAGAUCCCAACCCUCCAUGGGCCUGCCCUGGAUCCUUGCUGUUGGAGGGGAGGCACAACUUCACCUCUACCCUCAUAGGGAUUUUUGGCUGCACCUGC